rnacentral:lncRNA from 1 species
UCUCGUCCUUCUUUUCUUUCUUUUUCUUUUCACUCUUUUUGUUUUUCUCUUUUUAUUUUUCUUGCUCAAUGGAUUGCUUCAUUUUAAGUUGAUCUUUAUAUACUUGCUUCGGCGUGAGAGGGGCUAAUGUUACAUUUCUUCCGAGGUGCUUGAAUGAAUAUCGAUUCAUGUAGCCAUCAUGGGUUACUCGAUGGUCAAACUGCCAAGGACGCCCCAACAAGAGGUGCCCUGCAUGCAUUGGCACGACGUCACACAUCACCUCGUCUUGGUAUUUUCCGAUGGAAAACAUCACCUUAGCUUGCUUGGUAACUCUUAGUUCACCCUCGUCGUUUAGCC